GUGGGGAAUCUUCCGCAAUGGACGAAAGUCUGACGGAGCGACGCCGCGUGAGUGAAGAAGGCCUUCGGGUCGUAAAGCUCUGUCAUCAGGGACGAACGGCCGGUGGAGUGGAAAGCCACCGGAUUGACGGUACCUGAGAAGGAAGCCACGGCUAACUACGUGCCAGCAGCCGCGGUAAUACGUAGGUGGCAAGCGUUGUCCGGAAUUAUUGGGCGUAAAGCGCGCGCAGGUGGGAUCUUAAGUCCAUUUUUAAAGGUCGGAGCUCAACUCCGUGAUGGGAUGGAAACUGGGAUUCUUGAGUACCGGAGAGGAAAGCGGAAUUCCCCGUGUAGCGGUGAAAUGCGUAGAUAUGGGGAGGAACACCAGUGGCGAAGGCGGCUUUCUGGACGGUGUCUGACACUGAGGCGCGAAAGCCAGGGGAGCGAACGGGAUAGAAACCCCAGUAGUCC
rnacentral:rRNA from 1 species